GAUGAACGCUGGCGGCGUGCCUAAUACAUGCAAGUCGAGCGAACAGACGAGGAGCUUGCUCCUCUGACGUUAGCGGCGGACGGGUGAGUAACACGUGGAUAACCCACCUAUAAGACUGGGAUAACUUCGGGAAACCGGAGCUAAUACCGGAUAAUAUAUUGAACCGCAUGGUUCAAUAGUGAAAGACGGUUUUGCUGUCACUUAUAGAUGGAUCCGCGCCGCAUUAGCUAGUUGGUAAGGUAACGGCUUACCAAGGCAACGAUGCGUAGCCGACCUGAGAGGGUGAUCGGCCACACUGGAACUGAGCAAGGUCCCAGACGCCUACGGGAGGCAGAGGUAGGGAAUCUUCCGCAAGGGGCGAAAGCCUGACGGAGCAACGCCGCGUGAGUGAGGAAGGUCUUCGGAUCGUAAAACUCUGUUAUUAGGGAAAAACAAAGGUGUAAGUAACAAGGCACUUUUGAACGGUACCAAAUCAGAAAGCCACGGCUAACUACGU
rnacentral:rRNA from 1 species